rnacentral:rRNA from 1 species
GAUACGGGACUCAUCCNAGGCCCCGUAAUCGGAAUGAGAACACUUUAAAUCCUUUAACGAGUAUCCAUUGGAGGGCAAGUCUGGUGCCAGCAGCCGCGGUAAUUCCAGCUCCAAUAGCGUAUAUUAAAGUUGUUGCGGUUAAAAAGCUCGUAGUUGGACUUGUGUCCCACGCUGUCGGUUCACCGCCCGUCGGUGUUUAACUGGCAUGGUUCGUGGGACGUCCUGCCGGUGGUGGCGAGUCGAAGGUUCGCGCCCGCUCCGGCUCACGCCGCGAGUGAGGUGGCGGGCUGUAGACGGACCCCGAUGAAAUCCUACCGCGGUGCUCUUCACCGAGUGUCGAGGUGGGCCGGCACGUUUACUUUGAACAAAUUAGAGUGCUUAAAGCAGGCCUGUUGCGCCUGAAUACUGUGUGCAUGGAAUAAUGGAAUAGGACCUCGGUUCUAUUUUGUUGGUUUUCGGAACCCGAGGUAAUGAUUAAUAGGGACAGUCGGGGGCAUUCGUAUUGCGACGUUAGAGGUGAAAUUCUUGGAUCGUCGCAAGACGGACCGAAGCGAAAGCAUUUGCCAAGUAUGUUUUCAUUAAUCAAGAACGAAAGUUAGAGGUUCGAAGGCGAUCAGAUACCGCCCUAGUUCUAACCAUAAACGAUGCCAGCUAGCGAUCCGCCGAAGUUCCUCCGAUGACUCGGCGGGCAGCUCCCGGGAAACCAAAGCUUUUGGGUUCCGGGGGAAGUAUGGUUGCAAAGCUGAAACUUAAAGGAAUUGACGGAAGGGCACCACCAGGAGUGGAGCCUGCGGCUUAAUUUGACUCAACACGGGAAACCUCACCAGGCCCGGACAC